rnacentral:rRNA from 1 species
CCUACGGGCGGCUGCAGUGGGGAAUAUUGGGCAAUGGAGGCAACUCUGACCCAGCAACGCCGCGUGAAUGAUGAAGGUCUUCGGAUUGUAAAGUUCUGUGAUGGGGGAUGAACACAAUGACGGUACCCCAAUAGCAAGCCACGGCUAACUACGUGCCAGCAGCCGCGGUAAUACGUAGGUGGCAAGCGUUCUCCGGAAUGACUGGGCGUAAAGGGUGCGUAGGUGGUUUAGUAAGUUGGCGGUGUAAUUCCGGGGCUCAACCUCGGCGCUACCGCCAAAACUAGUUGACUAGAGUGCAGGGGGGGUAAGUGGAAUUCCUGGUGUAGCGGUGGAAUGCGUAGAUAUUAGGAGGAACAUCAGGGGCGAAGGCGACUUACGGGACUGUAACUGACACUGAGGCACGAAAGCGUGGGGAGCAAACAGGAUUAGAUACCCGUGUAGUC